rnacentral:misc_RNA from 1 species
GGAAGCUAAAAAUGACAAUACUAAGAAGGAUGUGUGGAAAUAUGAGAAUGGACCAAAAAAGAAACAAGUACAUACAUAGAAAGGUGACAAGGUGGCACCCAUUGACAAUUGAGUUGAGGGAAGAUCCCAAGCUACAAAAGCCAGUCAAAUGAGAACAUUGAACACAUGCAAGUUAUAGAUAUGAAAAAAAGAUUAGAGAUCAACCAAGAAUGACGUAGGGUGAAGCCGUGAAGGAAUUAAAACU